rnacentral:rRNA from 1 species
CCGGAAAUCUUACCGGGACCGACAGCAAUAUGAAGGCCAGGCUGAAGACUUUGCCGGAUUAGCUGAGAGGUGGUGCAUGGCCGUCGUCAGUUCGUACUGUGAAGCAUCCUGUUAAGUCAGGCAACGAGCGAGACCCACGCCCACAGUUGCCAGCGUACUCUCUGGAGUGACGGGUACACUGUGGGGACCGCCGCUGCUAAAGCGGAGGAAGGAAUGGGCAACGGUAGGUCAGUAUGCCCCGAAUAUCCCGGGCUACACGCGAGCUACAAUGGUUGGUACAAUGGGUAUCUACCCCGAAAGGGGACGGGAAUCUCCUAAAACCAAUCUUAGUUCGGAUUGAGGGCUGCAACUCGCCCUCAUGAAGCUGGAAUCCGUAGUAAUCGCGUUUCAACAGAACGCGGUGAAUACGUCCCUGCUCCUU